rnacentral:ribozyme from 1 species
UGCAUGUGAUGAGAAAAGCAAUCAAAAAAAAAAAAAAAAAAAAAAAA